rnacentral:sRNA from 1 species
GCCAGGUGCAGUGAUGCACACCUGUAAUCCCAACAUUUUAGGAGGCUGAGGCAGGAGGAUCGUAAGUUCAAAGCCAGCCUCAGCAAUUCAGCUUAGGCCCUAAGUAACUCAGCAAGACCCUGUCUCUA